AAGACAACAAGCUUUUUGUAUCUCCCGCAGGAAUCCAAGGUGGCUGCCGAGAGCCUUUCCCUGGGUCCAAGCCUGACCCAACUGUUUACAAGCUUGUUUACUUAGGGCAAGGCCGGACCUGCCUGACUCCGUGUCCCACUGAGGUCUGAGGGGAUCUGUGUCUGAGCUCUGGCAUGGGCUGUUGACAGAAUAAGUGUCAUCAGAAGCUGGUGGCUUAGGGGCCUCAGAUACUCAUGUCUGAAGACUGUCCUCCAUGCAGAGCCACAGGGCAUGACAGCACCAUUUCUGGCUUUCAUCAAAGCACAGGGAUAGAGUGAGAGAGAGAGAGCUGGCCAGAUGGAUCUCUUGCUCAACUUAGCUGGGAAGAGAAGCUGGGUGACACCGGAACACGGGGAUCUCAGGGGUCACUGCAAGAGCCACCUAACACAGUCUGUAAGCCUAGUGUCCUGGGGAGGGACUGAGCAGACAGCCACGGGUUUAUCUAAGUCCAGAUCUCUGUAAAGAAGACCCUGGGAAAGCGAGUCUACAGAGAGAUACACUGAGCUAUGGGACUUGCUCAGACUCUCCUCCCGUUAGGCAGCAGAAUCUAAUAAGAAACAGACAGUACACAAUGAAGUCAUCAAGAUCUGGUGUCUGGUGCAAGUAAGACUCGCCCCACAGGAGCUGGGGUCGUGGAAACAGAAGUGAAGAAAUUGAGACAUGGAAACGCAGGAUAACAUCCCGUGUCCAUUCUCAGAAAGACUGUUCUCUGGGAUGUUCCCUAAGGGUUGUAGCUCAGGAAUCCUGGGAGAAGCAUGGAAGAAUCUUCUAGCAUGUGGGGACUCUCGGGACCCAAGAGGGAGAGCAACUCCUAAAGACAUGGAGGCUUCUAGUACUUCAGGACAUACAAUGGGUCUGAAAUUCUUGCUUGGGGCCAUAUGGAUUGGCCGCGCAGGGAGGAAAUUAUAUUCAGCUUUCUGUUUCUGCUCAACUCUUUCCACUGGUGUAAUCACGAAGUCGUAAGUGGGUUGGAAGAAGGAGGAAGUUUAUUACAACUUGGUGGAUGGAGAAGGGCCUUGCAGCUGACAUUUCCGGGGCAACGGCUGUAAUGAAAAAUACUCCCGGAGCCUUGCAAGGAAGAUGGUGAGCUAGAAAUUGCAUCUGUAUGACCCAGGGAAGGAGAGCCUCAGGAUAAUGAAAGACAGACUCUGUUCCUAAGAUGGAAAGAAAACCAGCCUUUGGAAAGCCACGACACACGGGGAAAGAUGCUCGAAAAUAGCAGGUAUCUGUACCCCUCUGGACUGCUUUCGGAUGUGCCAGCUUCCUGACCUACACUGUGCCUCGCUGCCCCAGAGCACUGAGUAUCCUGCUAGCAAUUAAGAAGAUGCAGUCAAAGUGCCAAGGAGUAGACCUCACCAGGAUCAGCCUACUGACCUGGGUAGGAAUGCGUGUGGACCCUGGAGGAGCAUCUACUUGGGCAGACAGAAGCAGUGAGCUCACAGAACACCACAGCCAGAGCCCAUGAGCUGCUCCGCCUACAGCCUGGUGUCUUCCAACUGCGCGGUGAGCAGCUCCUGGUGCCCGGGCCCGGGGAGCCCGCGGCCGCACGAGGGGGCUUCAACGUCUUCGGGGACGGCCUUGUGCGCCUAGACGGGCAGCUCUAUCGCCUCAGCAGCUACAUCAAGAGAUAUGUGGAACUGACCAACUACUGUGAUUAUAAAGACUACAGGGAAACGAUACUGAGCAAACCUAUGGUAUUCUUUAUUAACGUGCAGACCAAGAAGGACAUUUCAAAAGUUUGAUUUCCAGGAAGUAGUAAAGAAUUUCUUCCCUCCAGGAACAAUUGUACUGAAUGGAGAGAAUUUGAGCUUCACCUACGAAUUCAAGGCAGAUGCCCUGUUUGAUUUCUUCUACUGGUUUGGGCUCAGCAAUUCCACCGUAAAAGUGCACGGAAAGGUUCUGAACUUGACAAGUACGAAUCCAGAAAAGAAAGAAACAAUCAAGUUAUUUCUGGAAAAAAUGAGCGAACCUCUAAUACGAAGGAGUAGUUUCUCUGAUCGGAAAUUUAGCGUCACAUCUAGAGGUUCAAUAGAUGACGUUUUCAACUGCAAUCUGUCACCCAGAUCAUCGGUUACAGAACCACUUUUGGCAGAAUUCUCAUUUCCAAGUCUUCUGGAAUGUGAAGAGACAUCCAGCCAACUUAUCUGAUUGGUCUGAACAUUCAAGCUGUCGCCCUUUGGGGGUCUGUGGCACACAGUGGGUUAAAGGGGUAAAAGGAGGCAGGGAGUGGACAUUUCUAUCCCUUUGCCAGCCUCUGGCCCUCCAAGGUUCUAUAGAGGACCCCCUUUCCCAUCCCUAGGCACUGGCAGGCCCAGUGGCUUCCGUCAAGGUUAUGAUUAUGGGAUGGAAGGAUUUUGUCUCUAUGGCAUAGGGUGUCAUUGACAUUGAACACUUCUCUGAGGAAUUUUCAGGGGCAACCAAGCACCCAUGAACUUUGCUUAGUACCCUGGCACUCUGGAGACCCUCCUGGCAACCUCUGAGGGAGGCAUCUGACUGGGAUGCUAACCUGUGAUUUAUCCUGGAUCACAGAAUGGCCCUCUGCAACCAGCAGCCCCAGCAAGCCUUGGGGCUAAACUCUUCUCUUGCAAAUAUGUCAGGUAAAGCCAGUACUGAUAUUUCCCUGGGAAACAAAUCUGAUGUCCAACCUGCCACUGGAAUGAACAUUCAAGAUACUGGCUGCUGAAGGAUCUCUGCAGGCCACCAGGAUGAGCCCUCCCUGAAAUGUAAAGCCAGGUGGGGUGCCAAUCAGCCAGUGACAAGGGAGGGUCCUCCUCCCUGCAGGUACACGUACUAGUUAAUGUUUGAAAUACACUUUAACAAUCUUAAUAGGAGAAGAAAAGCCCAGGGAAACUAAGCCAUUACCAUGGUACACUGGACAUCAGGGCGCUUUCUGCCCCACAGCUCCAGUGGGAUUCACU
ensembl:processed_transcript Gm20488 predicted gene 20488